AUCUAGCUGAUGAGUCUCAAAUAGGAUGAAAACGCGAGUCUUGGAU
rnacentral:hammerhead_ribozyme from 1 species